rnacentral:rRNA from 1 species
UUAAGCGACUAAGCGUACACGGUGGAUGCCCUGGCAGUCAGAGGCGAUGAAGGACGUGCUAAUCUGCGAUAAGCGUCGGUAAGGUGAUAUGAACCGUUAUAACCGGCGAUUUCCGAAUGGGGAAACCCAGUGUGAUUCGUCACACUAUCAUUAACUGAAUCCAUAGGUUAAUGAGGCGAACCGGGGGAACUGAAACAUCUAAGUACCCCGAGGAAAAGAAAUCAACCGAGAUUCCCCCAGUAGCGGCGAGCGAACGGGGAGCAGCCCAGAGCCUGAAUCAGUGUGUGUGUUAGUGGAAGCGUCUGGAAAGGCGCGCGAUACAGGGUGACAGCCCCGUACACAAAAAUGCACAUACUGUGAGCUCGAUGAGUAGGGCGGGACACGUGGUAUCCUGUCUGAAUAUGGGGGGACCAUCCUCCAAGGCUAAAUACUCCUGACUGACCGAUAGUGAACCAGUACCGUGAGGGAAAGGCGAAAAGAACCCCGGCGAGGGGAGUGAAAAAGAACCUGAAACCGUGUACGUACAAGCAGUGGGAGCCUCUUAAUGGGGUGACUGCGUACCUUUUGUAUAAUGGGUCAGCGACUUAUAUUCUGUAGCAAGGUUAACCGAAUAGGGGAGCCGAAGGGAAACCGAGUCUUAACUGGGCGUUAAGUUGCAGGGUAUAGACCCGAAACCCGGUGAUCUAGCCAUGGGCAGGUUGAAGGUUGGGUAACACUAACUGGAGGACCGAACCGACUAAUGUUGAAAAAUUAGCGGAUGACUUGUGGCUGGGGGUGAAAGGCCAAUCAAACCGGGAGAUAGCUGGUUCUCCCCGAAAGCUAUUUAGGUAGCGCCUCGUGAAUUCAUCUCCGGGGGUAGAGCACUGUUUCGGCAAGGGGGUCAUCCCGACUUACCAACCCGAUGCAAACUGCGAAUACCGGAGAAUGUUAUCACGGGAGACACACGGCGGGUGCUAACGUCCGUCGUGAAGAGGGAAACAACCCAGACCGCCAGCUAAGGUCCCAAAGUCAUGGUUAAGUGGGAAACGAUGUGGGAAGGCCCAGACAGCCAGGAUGUUGGCUUAGAAGCAGCCAUCAUUUAAAGAAAGCGUAAUAGCUCACUGGUCGAGUCGGCCUGCGCGGAAGAUGUAACGGGGCUAAACCAUGCACCGAAGCUGCGGCAGCGACGCUUAUGCGUUGUUGGGUAGGGGAGCGUUCUGUAAGCCUGCGAAGGUGUACUGUGAGGUAUGCUGGAGGUAUCAGAAGUGCGAAUGCUGACAUAAGUAACGAUAAAGCGGGUGAAAAGCCCGCUCGCCGGAAGACCAAGGGUUCCUGUCCAACGUUAAUCGGGGCAGGGUGAGUCGACCCCUAAGGCGAGGCCGAAAGGCGUAGUCGAUGGGAAACAGGUUAAUAUUCCUGUACUUGGUGUUACUGCGAAGGGGGGACGGAGAAGGCUAUGUUGGCCGGGCGACGGUUGUCCCGGUUUAAGCGUGUAGGCUGGUUUUCCAGGCAAAUCCGGAAAAUCAAGGCUGAGGCGUGAUGACGAGGCACUACGGUGCUGAAGCAACAAAUGCCCUGCUUCCGAAAGCCUCUAAGCAUCAGGUAACAUCAAAUCGUACCCCAAACCGACACAGGUGGUCAGGUAGAGAAUACCAAGGCGCUUGAGAGAACUCGGGUGAAGGAACUAGGCAAAAUGGUGCCGUAACUUCGGGAGAAGGCACGCUGAUAUGUAGGUGAAGUCCCUUGCGGAUGGAGCUGAAAUCAGUCGAAGAUACCAGCUGGCUGCAACUGUUUAUUAAAAACACAGCACUGUGCAAACACGAAAGUGGACGUAUACGGUGUGACGCCUGCCCGGUGCCGGAAGGUUAAUUGAUGGGGUUAGCGGUAACGCGAAGCUCUUGAUCGAAGCCCCGGUAAACGGCGGCCGUAACUAUAACGGUCCUAAGGUAGCGAAAUUCCUUGUCGGGUAAGUUCCGACCUGCACGAAUGGCGUAAUGAUGGCCGCUGUCUCCACCCGAGACUCAGUGAAAUUGAACUCGCUGUGAAGAUGCAGUGUACCCGCGGCAAGACGGAAAGACCCCGUGAACCUUUACUAUAGCUUGACACUGAACAUUGAGCCUUGAUGUGUAGGAUAGGUGGGAGGCUUUGAAGUGUGGACGCCAGUCUGCAUGGAGCCGACCUUGAAAUACCACCCUUUAAUGUUUGAUGUUCUAACGUUGGCCCUAAUCGGGGUUGCGGACAGUGUCUGGUGGGUAGUUUGACUGGGGCGGUCUCCUCCUAAAGAGUAACGGAGGAGCACGAAGGUUGGCUAAUCCCGUCGGACAUCAGGAGGUUAGUGCAAUGGCAUAAGCCAGCUUGACUGCGAGCGUGACGGCGCGAGCAGGUGCGAAAGCAGGUCAUAGUGAUCCGGUGGUUCUGAAUGGAAGGGCCAUCGCUCAACGGAUAAAAGGUACUCCGGGGAUAACAGGCUGAUACCGCCCAAGAGUUCAUAUCGACGGCGGUGUUUGGCACCUCGAUGUCGGCUCAUCACAUCCUGGGCUGAAGUAGGUCCCAAGGGUAUGGCUGUUCGCCAUUUAAAGUGGUACGCGAGCUGGGUUUAGAACGUCGUGAGACAGUUCGGUCCCUAUCUGCCGUGGGCGCUGGAGAACUGAGGGGGGCUGCUCCUAGUACGAGAGGACCGGAGUGGACGCAUCACUGGUGUUCGGGUUGUCAUGCCAAUGGCACUGCCCGGUAGCUAAAUGCGGAAGAGAUAAGUGCUGAAAGCAUCUAAGCACGAAACUUGCCCCGAGAUGAGUUCUCCCUGACUCCCUGAGAGUCCUGAAGGAACGUUGAAGACGACGACGUUGAUAGGCCGGGUGUGUAAGCGCAGCGAUGCGUUGAGCUAACCGGUACUAAUGAACCGUGAGGCUUAACCU